CAUUCCGGCCAGAACAAAACAAAAAACAAAACAUUGGUUCUUGUCAUUUAAUUGAGAGCCGCUCAACAUCCCAAAGCCUUCAUCCCUACAAUUCCUCUCUUUUUCCCUCUAAUGCCAUCUUCCAUGUUACAGCUCAAGCCUAGAAAUGGCCAUUCUACCGUUUUCUCCCUUUUUCCUCUUUCUUCUCUCUUGGCCCACGCCAAACCCUAGUCCCAAAGUGUCCCCUCACUGUCAAUCUUGGUUUCCAAUAAGCCUUUAUGGGCAAAUAUGUUGCUCCCGCCCUUAUAUGUCCCAUUCGGUUGUCCAUUGGAGUCAUGCUCUCAUCUUCAUUAUUUGCUGGUAGGGUUUCUUCUUGGGCUAGAUAAUCUCUAGGUGUUGCCAUUUUAUUGCUUUCCCUUGCUAGAUUCUCCAUUUGUUAGGCGUUGGUGUUCUUUUCUUAGGGUUUUGAAAUAAUAUUGUUGUGGUCGCAUUAGGGUUCCAGCAUUUGUGUUUCAGCCUCCAUCCACACAGUGCUUGUUAUCUCACUCGCUUGAGGUCUACUAGGUUUCAAGUUUUUAUUUUUUAUUUGUGUGUACAUGUUGUACUAGCAGUUCCUAUUUUGGCCCCUGAACUUUUUAGUGUUUCUAAUAUGGUCCACGUUUGGUGACUGUAGUUGAUGCUUUGUGUGUAUUUUAUGGUUGCAUGGACAUGUGUUGUUAGACUAUUUUUAUUGUUCAAUUGUCUCCUACUAGACUAUGGUUUUCACUUUGGCAUGAGUUAUUGUUAGACUAUUAUUAUAAGCAUCCGUAUUAUGAUUUUUUAGCAUUCGUUUACCCAAGUAAACUUUACACUUCUCACAUGGGAAAUCAAGCACAUGCAUUGCACGAUUCUCAGCUAGUUAAUUUUAUAAAGGAAAAAGUUGAAGGUAGUUGAUUUUGGGGACCCCUUUGCGCACGAAAUCGAUGUGGCUGCCCUGGGUUAAAUGAAACGGUGCGCACGGGCUCCUUGCUGAAGAUGAAAAAUGUGCUCCUCCUUCCAGCCUUGUGAAACGGUGCGUACUGAAGAAUUGCAUAUUGUUCUGAAGCUGAAGCUUCCUUCGCAUCUCUUCUCUUCGUGGCCAUCAAUGAAAUCAAACCGAAGAUGUUUCCAUGGAAUUGCCAUCGUGAGUGAGCGUCUCCUUCUCCAAAUUCACAGCUGAAGAUUCUUCCUUUCUCCGAGGUACACUUAGAAAUACACCCUUUAGCACUGCAAGGGAAGAUAUGGAUGAAUUUAGAAUAUCAAAAGACUUUUUAUGUCUAAGGUGAUAUGUCUGAAAUUUUAUUUUUGGCUAGUUACACUAUGAAGCAUGGGUGAGAUUUGUCAUCCUUGGCAUUAUUACAGUUGGAGUUUAUGCAUUUGUUUGAUAGUAAUUACCAAAAGUAAGGACUGAGUUUGGUGAGUUUUGUAAGGAAGGAGAAGAUAGCGUGAGCUUUACAUGGCUCUGAUACCACACUAAAGGAAGUAAAGGACGUAGGUGAAGUGUUUGAAGAAAGACCUCUGUGAGGAUUUCAUUGAAACCAUAAAAUUUACAAGUAUCAGUGUUCUAUUAUAUACAACGCAAAGACCCUUUGGUCCCCAAUACGUAUUGUUGCAAUGUAAGUAAAUUAACAUUUAACAAGCAUUUCAUUUGCAUUUAAAAAGCAGACUUGGGACCACUAUGAGAAAUUCUGUUAUCACCAAAAUUCUCUCUAAGUAUUUGGUGAAAUUAGAUGAUUCAAUUUUAAAAUGAGAAAUACAAUCAUGUGUGUUUGAAUUUGUCAUGUAGCAUGUUUGAAGUGUGUUUAUCUUUUUCCAUUAGUCUAUUGCAGUUGUAUUUUUGGGUCUAUUGCAGUUGUAUUUUUUGGGUCUCUUGCCUUGUCGCAUAGAGCUCAAGGACUGGGGCUUACAGAUUUUGACAAUGGCUGGGGAGCAAAUCUUUCAAUGCCCCCUGCAGAAACCUUCACCGGAAACAACGGAUGCCAAAUAAAUCUAACCUUCAAACCUUAGUGAUCAAGCUUGGGGCUGUAUCACUCACCCAAAGUCGGCUUGAUUUAUGAAAAACUAAGUUCGAGUUUGGCUAAAAACUUGAGUUGUAUUUGAGUACUCAAGUUGAACACGGCUCAACUAAAAAAAAUUUUGUUCUUUCUAUUUUAUUGUUUUAAAAGAGGUAAUAAAUAAAUGAAUAUGUAAAUACAUAAAUGGGAUAAUAAAGAAGUUGAUCAAUUUCCUUUAGUAAAUAAAUCGACCAUGUAUCGAGUUGCCACCCAUCUUGACCUUUACACCCCAACCUUUCCCAUUCAUAGCUUUUGAGGACUCAUGAUUUAAAUGGUUCAGCAAGAGAUAUACCUUUUGAGCAUGAAAAUCAUUUUGAAAUAAUCAUAUUAUUAGGUCAACUCCUCAUAUGGUCAUUAUACUUGUACAAAAAUCAUGGAUCAUUCAAAGGUUUAUAUACUUAUAUACUUGAUGUUUAUAGGAGUUUUUAGAAACUUGCACAGGUGAUCAUUGUGAAGCAGGGCAUCGUACCUUAGACACCUUGUUUCAUUGAAUGGCACAAACACAAGAGUUCCUUACUCCCUCAGGUUCCCCAUAUUCUGACACACUAUAAACAAAAGAAAAGUGAGAAGUGUAGUAGAGUCGGUCUAGCUAAAAGACUAGAAGUAUGUAAAUUGUCAUCAGCCUAAGCUUUCAAUACACAAUUGUGAUGGUGGGUUUUGGUUCCAAAGCUUCCUUAUCUUUCACCAUAACAGCUACUAGCUAAAUAGUAAAUAAUUUCUCUUAUUCCCCCAUAUUUAGUUUAGAAAAGGUUUGCUCUAUUUGACUAGUUUUUUCCAUCUGCUUUUAACUCUGACUAAACACCCACUGAAUUUGUUGUUGAUAUGUUGUUUGUUCUAACAAUUUUCACAUAAUUGUAAUAAUCUAAUAGAAAGAAGCUCAUCAUAAAAGGAAAGCGGGUGGGCAUAAAUGGAUAUAUUUCGGUACUCCUUACAUAGUAUAUUUCGGUUGUUUACUUCUUGUGGCAAUUCCAUAUUGAGAGUUUCGGUUCUGCCAGGGAGUAAUUUAAACUAGUGACCUAAAAGAGAGGAAGCAUGCAGUUUGUUAUCCAUAAAGAGUUCUGCUAUUUACAAGCCACUGUUUUUAAGUUUGUAAGUUUCUUUUUGUUAAAUCAUUUUAGAGAGUCAUACACUAGAGUGCCAUUGAAUGUUUCCUAGUUUUCCAGUUUAAUGUUUCUAAUUUUGAUAUUUUACAUACCUCUUGUUUGUUGGUUUAUAAUCAGGGGUUACCAUACUCCAACUAUUUCAAAUAGGCAGAUAAAAGUGAAGAAAGAGAAAAAGAACUGGUGAAGAUAGAAAUUGAAUUGUUAAGGAAUUAGGAAGAGCUUCGAAAAAGAGAGGAAGAAAUUGUGAAGAGGGAGUUGGGAGUCCAAAAUGACCAAGUCGAGGUCCAAAGGCAACAAGCAGACAUCCGGCCUGAACUCACACUUCUUUGUAUCUAUUGGGUGUUGUCUGUAUUAAUUUUGUUGUAUUUGUUACGAUCACAGUAAUAGGAGUUUUGUACAAUCUCAAACAAUGUAUCACUCACUUUGUUGUAAUGGAUGUGGUCUCUGUCUUUAGCAUAUUAACAUGCGGGAUCUGUUUAUCA